GCCAUAUGCCCGACACAUCCUCAAGGCAUCCAAUCCCAUUUGAACUUCAAAGCUAAGCAGGACCAACCAUGGUUACUAGUACUUGGAUGGCAGACUGCCAACGAAUACCAGAGCAGUAGGCU
rnacentral:rRNA from 11 species